AAUUGAUGUUCGAAAUCAUGGUUUCUGAGUGAACUUCAUUGGAGCGGAAAAUCUUGGAGGGAACAUCAAUACUAUUCUAAUGACAUUCCAUAGGAAUAAAAAUCCAAUGGGACCAAGUUCUUAGCAGUUCACACCUAGUCAGAAGUACAAAAUUGAGAACCAUGCCGAUCAGCAAGUGUUAGUUACAAUCUAAUGAGGAACAGGAUAUCCGAAUGGAAAAAUUGCAAGGUUUCCCACUUCCUAAGCUGUUUAAGUACUGGUAUCACAACAUAAGUGCCAAGAAGAGAUAUGAAACGGUCUCAAAAUUUUUGCUGGUGCCCCCCGAUGCCGUGACCCACGGUACGCCACUGCAAGUCUUCAUAAAUUAUGUAGGGUUAUUAAGUUGCAUUUAUUGUUAUCUUCAUUUUAAAAAAAUGUGAAAUGGGCUACCACUGCAAUGAUAUAUAAAUAGACUAUAUUUCAAAAAUAGAUUGAAUUCUAACCACAGUGACAGUAGACAAAUCAAAUUUUGUUAAUGAUUCGCUAAUGUAUUGAUUGGGGAAGGCACUCUUUAGGAUUCAGGCAUUGUGUCCCACCCCCCCCCCCCCUACGAGGAGUGCUCUCACAUCAGUAGACUAUUUCUUGUCAGCAAAUUUGAAAGGAAUUUACCAAUUUUUUUUAGUGACAAACUUUUGUGGAAGAAAAUAAACGAAUAUCAAAGGUUUUUAUGCUCUUUUAUGGAAUAUUAACUAUAGGCUCAUCGAGAUCCUUUGAAUGAAAUUUUAACAAACAUUGUACAAUGUAGAAAAAUGUACUUACUCCUAUUUUUGUACAUUUAUAUACCCACCCCAUACUACCAUUACCCAGUAACAGCCCUUUUUAGCUAUGCAUUGCCUUCAUUUUUUUAAAUACAAUUUAAUGCUUGGUAGAUGCUAAUUAUUAUUUUUAUGUUAAUGUCAAUGUUUUAGAAAAUGGAUUCCUUAAUAAACAUGUUAAUUUUGAAUUGAA